UAUAAGUACAUUUUAGUAUGCAGUAACUUUAAUCAUAUAAAGCAUAAUUUCCCAACAACAACAUUGUGGCCAGUGAAAAUGCUGAGUGGCUAGACAUUUUAUCGAUCAUUUC